rnacentral:rRNA from 1 species
UGUUUUCCGUAGGUGAACCUGCAGAAGGAUCAUUCCCAGUCUUAU